NNNNNNNNNNNNNNNNNNNNNNNNNNNNNNNNNNNNNNNNNNNNNNNNNNNNNNNNNNNNNNNNNNNNNNNNNNNNNNAUAUCACAAGCCCCGGAUAUCUAUUUUAUGGAGUUUGUUUCCUUUCUGUUUUCCCCUUUGUUUCUUUCUGCUGAGAUGAGGUAAAUGUAAACAAGACAAAAGGUAUAAAAGCUGUAACCCACAAAAAUAAAUUUGCUGCGUUUUGGCCAUAAUCUUCACGCAGCCCUCCAGACUCUACUUUUCUAUAUUCUUUCUUUCCUGCGCACUCUCUCUCUCAGGUUGAACGAGACAUCUACGUCAGCGGUCUCGGGGACUCCCGCGGGUUGGUAGUCCCCCGGCAGACGUGCCAGACCCCGAUAUCUGGCGCCUUGGAACAGGGACCUGAGUACGAGAGGUGAAUCUGGCGCCUUGGAACAGGGACCUGAGUACGAGAGGUACAGUGAUGCACCCCAAAUCAAAGGAGACAAGGUAAAACCGCGGUUCUUGUAGUUCUGGACUCAAAAUUUAUCUGGAGUAAAAUGGGGCAGUCUGAGUCCAAAAAUAAGUUAAUGUUCACGAAGUUAUUACAUCAAAUGUUAAGAAAUAGAGGUGUUGAAGUAAAAAAGAAACAUGUUUCUAAGUUUUUAGAGAUUGUUUAUGUAUUGUGUCCAUCGGUCCCUGAGGAGGGAUCGUUAGAUGAAUCGACGUGGAGUAAAAUAGGAACUAAGAUUGAGGAAUAUGCCGCCGCUCAUCAAUUUUCUCCGCAGGCAGAAUUGCUUCUCUCGGUCUGGCCUCACCUGCGCCAGGCUGUCUGCCCACCUCACUGCUCCCCUGGUGUUUCUCUUGCUUCUAGUUCCUCUUCUUUCUCUUGCAAAUCUAACCCUGAUGGUGGAGGGGGCGGCGGUAAUUUACCACCUUGCAAUCCUCUAAACAAGCCCGAUUCCGCUCUCGGAGUCGGACCUGAAGCCAGAAAUGGGGGAGCUCCGGACGAAAAGAUCAGAACCAGAGCAGAAAUCAGCGCUUCAGAGAGCGCGCAGGUAAGGGCUUCAGCUGUGCCCUCGAUUCCUACCCUCGAGGAAUUAUCCAGGCUUCUGGCUUCGCUUUCCAAACCUAUUCAAGCUUUCCCUGCUGUUACUAUGCUUUCCUCUAAGCCUGUGGUGUGCUCUACGCCACGAGAACCUAUCCUUGCAACUACUUAUGCCUUUGAGUCUAUGAAACAGGGAUUUCCCGAUUCUGACCUCCACCUCGUCUGUCCUGUUAUAGAGGUGACCAAUCAAAAUGGCGAGAUUGUUUGCCAUUAUGAACCUAUUCCACCAAAAUUCAUGAAAGAUUUCAAGGAGGCAGUGACUAAUUAUGGACCCACUGCACCUUAUACUCUCUCUUUACUCGAAAAUUUUGGUACUCAGGCCAUGACCCCUGCAGAUUGGCAUCGCAUCGCCAAUGCCUGCCUUUCAGGUGGCGACUACUUAUUGUGGAAAGCUUAUUAUGAUGAUGCCGCUUUCGAGUUGAUGGAAAGGAAUGAGAGACAAAGAGUGGGAGUUAAUUUACAGAUGUUAAAAGGUACAGGUGAUUAUGAAAGUGUUCAGGCACAAGUUGCCCUCCCAGAAGCGGCGUUUGGGCAGGUAAAUGCUUUAGCUUUGUGUGCCUGGAGAAAGCUUC
rnacentral:lncRNA from 13 species